UACGUAGGGGGCAAGCGUUGUCCGGAAUCAUUGGGCGUAAAGCGCGUGUAGGCGGUUCGGUAAGUCUGCUGUGAAAGUCCAGGGCUCAACCCUGGGAUGCCGGUGGAUACUGUCGGACUAGAGUACGGAAGAGGCGAGUGGAAUUCCCGGUGUAGCGGUGAAAUGCGCAGAUAUCGGGAGGAACACCAAUUGCGAAGGCAGCUCGCUGGGACGUCACUGACGCUGAUGCGCGAAAGCCAGGGGAGCGAACGGG
rnacentral:rRNA from 1 species